AUUGAACGCUGGCGGAAUGCUUUACACAUGCAAGUCGAGCGGCAGCACGGGGGCAACCCUGGUGGCGAGCGGCGAACGGGUGAGUAACACAUCGGAACGUACCCUGUCGUGGGGGGAUAACGAGUCGAAAGAUUCGCUAAUACCGCAUACGACCCGAGGGUGAAAGCGGGGGAUCGCAAGACCUCGCGCGACUGGAGUGGCCGAUGGCGGAUUAGCUAGUGGUGGGGUAAAGGCCCACCAAGGCGACGAUCCGUAGCGGAUCUGAGAGGACGGCCCGCCACACUGGGACUGAGACACGGCCCAGACUCCUACGGAGGCAGCAGUGGGGAAUUUUGGGACAAUGGGGGCAACCCGUGAUCCAGCCAUUCCGCGUGAGUGAAGAAGGCCU
rnacentral:rRNA from 1 species